AUACGAAGGGGGCUAGCGUUGUUCGGAAUUACUGGGCGUAAAGGGCGCGUAGGCGGCCAAGCAAGUCAGGGGUGAAAUCCCACGGCUCAACCGUGGAACUGCCUUUGAAACUGCAUGGCUAGAGUUCGAAAGAGGAGAGCGGAAUUCCACAUGUAGAGGUGAAAUUCGUAGAUAUGUGGAGGAACACCGAUGGCGAAGGCAGCUCUCUGGUUCGAUACUGACGCUGAGGCGCGAAAGCGUGGGUAGCAAACAGGAUUAGAAACCCCAGUAGUCC
rnacentral:rRNA from 1 species